UACUAGUAGUAAACAACUUGAAGGGUUACGUGUCACAACCCCCUUAUCGUCAAGACAAGAGGGAACUACAAAUUAAAUUUACAUUUUAGUUGUACAACCAUAUAUACGCCGAAAUGUGUGCUCUGUAAACUGUACACCCUAAUCUGUACAUCUGUACAACUUGAAAAAGUGUGUUUCAGUUUGUCAGAAUACAUUACUGACCGAGAGAUUUCAACUCCCUAACAAAUCGUCUAAAUCGACGAAAACGUAGUGACGACGAGUUUUCAAAAUGACGGUAACCUACAUGCAAUAUACGCACACUGCAGCCAAACUUGGAGUUUUCAGCAGGAUUUUAUUAAUUUGGAGAGGAAGUGUCUGGAAGGGGGUUUGGAGGGAUCUUUGUUUAUUCAUCUCUCUAUACGCAUUUAUCAGUAUUAUGUACAGAUACGUUCUAGUUCUGGAUGAGAAGAGCAAAGAUAAUUUUGAAGUGUUCUGUGUUUACUGCUCUAAAGGAAUACAAAGGAUCCCUCUCUCAUUUAUUCUUGGUUUCUAUGUUUCCCAGGUAGUUUCAAGAUGGUGGGAUCAAUGGAAUGCAUUGGCUUGGCCAGACAGGCUUGCCCAGCAGCUGACGUGCUAUCUUAACUGCAGGACUACCCGACGUUCCUGUAUUAGAUGGGCCUGCUUAUCUAACGUGCUGACUCUUCGAAUGAUUAGCAGUAAGGUUGCCCUGAGAUUUCCAACUCUUGAACAUUUAAUAGAGGCAGGACUCCUCACUUCUAAGGAGCUAGGAAAGCUGGAUCUGAUGCUGGAGAAAACAGGUGGAAGACAUGAUUUGUCUUGGUAUCCGAUUUCAUGGGCUCAGGAGGCUGUCAGGAAGAGCAGAAAAGAUGCACUGAUUCCUGCGGAUCUCUGGAUGUCUAAACUUCAAGACUCUCUGAUGAACAUUGCUGAUCAGAAUUGGAGAAUGUUUUGUUAUGGCUGGGUUAGUAUACCCCUAGUGUAUACCCAGCUAGUGACUAUAGCUGUUUAUACAUACUUCUUUGCUGCGCUCUUCGGUAGUCAGUAUCUAACUCCCACCAAAUACUUGAUAGACGGAGAGAUGUUCUACAAGGUAGAUGAGCACGAUUACAGACCUGGAGCAACUGGAAACCUGGUCGGAUAUGAUGAUAGUAUUUUCGAUAUGUAUAUCCCCACCUUUACCCUACUGGAGUUUGUAUUCUACUUUGGAUGGUUAAAGGUUGCCGAGUCUCUGAUCAACCCUUUUGGAGAAGAUGAUGAUGAUUUUGAAACCAAUUAUAUUAUUGACAGAAAUCUCCAGCUCGGAUAUCUGAUGGUAGAGAGAGAAGAUGUGGUUCAAGAAGAUCCUUUCGGAGAAUACGAGAUCCCGCCUAAUGUUCUUCCUCACACCAUGAGUUCUAAAGAGUUCAUAGACUCAGGACCUCAGAUGCCUACAGACAAUGUGUAUGUGGAGGAGGAUGGAAUGGCAUUAGUUACUGAGAAGGAUCAGGACGAUCAAGGAUUGAUCGUAAACCUUAGACCCAGUAUCAAAUCUAGACUAAGCAGACUAGGAAGUUCAAUACGAACUGGAAGACGACCUUCUAUUGCCUCCCGUCGUUCUUGUGGUUCCAUUAUUUCCAACAGAGGCAGAGUAGAGUCACGCAAACAAUAUGGGAAAGAUGGUUUGAUAAGUCGAAAUUCAACCUAUACUGGUUUAUCAUUUGGAGUCCCACAAUCAAGCGGAGAAGUAUCUCUGAGUAAUGGAAACGGUCCAGUACCUGUUCUUACCCGGGGUAUAAGUAGGAAGAGUAACGAUACAAAUCACAGAGAUAACGGGAUUGUAUUGGAGGAGAAGGCUGAAGGAAAUACGAAGUCCCCAAAUGGUCUGACCUCAUAUACUACAGAAAAGGAGGGAACAGAUUUCAAAAAGGAGAGUGUUUGUGACAAAUAUAUUGUUGAUUUACCUGUGGAGGAGGAGAAGGAUACUAACAACAUAUAGAUUAACAACCCUAACAACAUCUAAACAUUUUAAUCUGAAAAUUUGAAAUCGAAAACUCCAAGUUUGUUAUAUGUGUAAAUUCAUCGCUUAAUGCUUAAUGCAUGAAUAUUCAACCUUCACAACAAAAAAUCCGAUACGUCUUUCAUUCCUAUAACUCCUGACGAAAUCAGCAGAUAUAAAUAGAAAAAUGGUUUUCAAAUGUUGCCGAAUUUUUUUUCUAUUUUAAUACUAGCUCUGAUAUGUUUAUUCCAGACAUAGAUCUCUUUUGAUUGAUUUAAACAAUUCUACUGUAUUAUUUAGAUAAAAUGAACUCCUAAAACCAUUAGUUCAUUUUUCUGUUCAAUUUCUCGCGAAUAUUGUGUUAUUAUUUACAUUGUGCAAUAUGUACCUAUUUUUGACUCGAGUACAACAAUGCUUGCUCA
rnacentral:misc_RNA from 1 species